rnacentral:piRNA from 1 species
GAGGACUUGGGCGAUUUAAGUGGCA